GACGAACGCUGGCGGCGUGCUUAACACAUGCAAGUCGAACGGAAAGGCCCUGCUUUUGUGGGGUGCUCGAGUGGCGAACGGGUGAGUAACACGUGAGUAACCUGCCCUUGACUUUGGGAUAACUUCAGGAAACUGGGGCUAAUACCGGAUAGGAGCUCCUGCUGCAUGGUGGGGGUUGGAAAGUUUCGGCGGUUGGGGAUGGACUCGCGGCUUAUCAGCUCGUUGGUGGGGUAGUGGCUUACCAAGGCUUUGACGGGUAGCCGGCCUGGGAGGGUGACCGGCCACAUUGGGACUAAGAUACGGCCCAGACUCCUACGGGAGGCAGCAGUGGGGAAUAUUGCACAAUGGGCGGAAGCCUGAUGCAGCAACGCCGCGUGCGGGAUGACGGCCUUCGGGUUGUAAACCGCUUUCGCCUGUGACGAAGCGUGAGUGACGGUAAUGGGUAAAGAAGCACCGGCUAACUACGUG
rnacentral:rRNA from 1 species